rnacentral:lncRNA from 1 species
AGGAGCAAUUUGCUAGAAAAGUUCCAAGUAGGAUACUUUAGUCUACUUAGUUAGUGAUGUAGAGUAUAUCAUAGCAUAUGAUGCUGCCAUGUAAGCUAUGUAGUUGCUGAGCUUCAUUAGCAGGUUGGGAGUGGCGCCCUCCACUGAUGGUCUAGUCCUAUCGUAGCACUGGAGCCAUAAAUCUGGCUAAAGAACUGAAGGACCAGCAUACUCUGUA